GUUCUCGUUUUCAUAGUUAAGUCACCUUUUGUUGUGUACAGCACCGCGGUGUCUCAAUAUAAAGGUGCAUAAUUUGUUUUCUAUUUCUUGCCAAAUUUAGCGGUUAUUUUUUUUUAAAUUGAGGGCAAUUUCGAAAUUUAAAUGUGUUUUUAUUUUAGUUUCGACCUGGAGUUUUGAAAUAAUAUAUGGAAAGUAAAAUUUCACAAACAAUGAUAGGCAUACAGAUUAUAUAUAACAAUCAACCUAUUUGUAAAAUAUGCAUAGAUAAUACGGUAAUUUUUUUAUACUAUAUUUUUGUCGACCGAUGUUUUUUUUUAUUUUCUGCAUGUUAUCUACAUAUCUACUGAUAUGCUUUAAUAUUAUCAGUAAAAAAAUUUAAACAGCUUUCAUUUCCACUUGGUUCGACGAGCGAAACUAUCCCAUAGAUACAACCCACAGAGUUUCUCGCCGGAUCUUUUUCAGUGUGUCGCGAUUCUGAUCCAGUCGUAGAUUCGAAGGAGCACUGCCCUUGCUAGAGUUAGCGUUAGAAAAUUUUCUCAGGUUGAGCCCGUGAGCUCACCCACCAGUCGGAGGGUAGUUGAAAUUACCCUUACCAACGACUAGCGAAAUAGAGGAAGACAGCAACGUAGAUGGGAAGAUGACAUCAAAAAAGUGGCAGGAACGACUUGGAUGAGAAAAACGCAGGAUAGAAUAUUAUGGAGAACCCUUAGGGAGGCCUAUGCUGUACAGCAAGACGAUCAAGAAACCGGUGUCAAAUAAUAAAACUAGAUAAUAAGUGUAUUAAAAAUGUAACUUAAAUUAGAUUGUCAAUAAAGGCUUAUAUUAUUAUUA